rnacentral:antisense_RNA from 1 species
AGAAGGCUUCCGGGGCGAUGCCGUUUCGGGGGCCUUUUUCUUUGC